UACGAAGGGGGCUAGCGUUGCUCGGAAUCACUGGGCGUAAAGCGCACGUAGGCGGCUUUCUAAGUCAGGGGUGAAAUCCUGGAGCUCAACUCCAGAACUGCCUUUGAUACUGGAGAGCUUGAGUCCGGAAGGGGUGAGUGGAACUCCGAGUGUAGAGGUGAAAUUCGUAGAUAUUCGGAAGAACACCAGUGGCGAAGGCGGCUCACUGGUCCGGUACUGACGCUGAGGUGCGAAAGCGUGGGGAGCAAACAGG
rnacentral:rRNA from 1 species